GACGAACGCUGGCGGCGUGCUUAAUACAUGCAAGUAGAACGCUGAAGGAUGAUCUUGCUCUUCUGGAUGAGUUGCGAACGGGUGAGUAACGCGUAGGUAACCUGCCUGGUAGCGGGGGAUAACUAUUGGAAACGAUAGCUAAUACCGCAUAACAGUAGAUGUUGCAUGACAUUUACUUAAAAGGUGCAAUUGCAUCACUACCAGAUGGACCUGCGUUGUAUUAGCUAGUUGGUGGGGUAACGGCUCACCAAGGCGACGAUACCUAGCCGACCUGAGAGGGGGAUCGGCCACACUGGGACUGAGACACGGCCCAGACUCCUACGGGAGGCAGCAGUAGGGAAUCUUCGGCAAUGGACGGAAGUCUGACCGAGCAACGCCGCGUGAGUGAAGAAGGGUUUCGGGUCGUAAAGCUCUGUUGUAAGGGAAGAAAGAGUGUGUGAGUGAAAGGUUCACAAUGUGACGGUAUCUGAACAGAAAGGGACGGCUAACUACGUG
rnacentral:rRNA from 1 species